GGGCUACUCUCUAUUGGCAUGCAGUUAUCACAUAUUUCUGCUAACAAACCAAGGGAGAGUUGUCCUA